UACAGAGGUCUCGAGCGUUGUUCGGAUUCAUUGGGCGUAAAGGGCGCGUAGGCGGCGGGGUAAGUCUGGUGUGAAAUCUCGGAGCUCAACUCCGAAAUUGCACUGGAUACUGCUCUGCUAGAGGGCUGGAGAGGAGAUCGGAAUUCACGGUGUAGCAGUGAAAUGCGUAGAUAUCGUGAGGAAGACCAGUGGCGAAGGCGGGUCUCUGGACAGUUCCUGACGCUGAGGCACGAAGGCCAGGGGAGCAAACGGG
rnacentral:rRNA from 1 species